CAGCCGCCGCGGUAAUACAGAGGAUGCAAGCGUUAUCCGGAAUGAUUGGGCGUAAAGCGUCUGUAGGUGGCUUUUCAAGUCCGCCGUCAAAUCCCAGGGCUCAACCCUGGACAGGCGGUGGAAACUACCAAGCUGGAGUACGGUAGGGGCAGAGGGAAUUUCCAGUGGAGCGGUGAAAUGCGUUGAGGUCGAAAAGAACACCAACAGCGAAAGCACUCUGCUGGGACGACACUGACACUAAGAGACGAAAGCUAGGGGAGCAAAUGGGAUUAGAGACCCCCGUAGUCCCUGUCUCUUAUAC
rnacentral:rRNA from 1 species